GUAAACCGGAAGUCAUGUUUCCAAGAUGUCAACAAGCAGCGCAAAACAGAGUAACACGACUUUAGUAGUGUCGAUUUAAACUGGUGAAAAUAGGGGCUGCGGCGACGCAUCCUUCAGAGUGAUGCCUUAGCCUGGCUCUACUUUUCCACCGCCACCACUGCAGAGGCUACACGGCGAUCCUUGUGCAGUUGCGAGCGCCGUAAAACCUCUAGGCCUACUAAAACUAAGCUAAAAACGACGAUUGGAGAUCUGUCUGGCGUUGUCGUCUGACACGUCAAAUAGACAGGAUGGGGUCGCUGCAAAAUACGUGGUGUCGUCUGUGUCCCAACUGAAGCGGUCAGUUGGUUGUGUCGAAGAAGUGACGCGUGCUCAUAAUCAUAUGACCUUAUGCAGUUGCGAGCGCCGUAAAACACUUACCCAACCCCCCCCCCCCCCAAAAAAAAAAAAAGAAAGAAGAGACACAGAAAACACAAUCGAGCUUGGACGUUGUAAAUUGUAUUUUUGUGCUCCUUUUAAUUUGUCGUUUUGUAGUCAGUUUUGUUUGUUUGUUUUAGAGGUGACCCAUUCCAUUACAUGUACCAGGGAACAUACAGAUCUAGUCAAAACUAGUGUGUGGAUCUCAGUCUCUUAAAUCUAUUUGUGUGUGCUGCCCUUUAGUGUUGAUCAAACUUCCUUCUAUUUUAUUCCAGAAAUCAAGACUUUCUGUAAAGCCGUCCCGCGGUUUUAUGCAAAAAAAAAA